GGGGUUUUCUUGGUAAGUGGGGGGAAAGCACGGGGAAACUCGUUAUUAAUACCGCAUACGACCUACGGGAGAAAGGGGGCAGUUUACUGCUCUCGCUAUUAGAUGAGCCUAAGUCGGAUUAGCUAGAUGGUGGGGUAAAGGCCUACCAUGGCGACGAUCUGUAGCUGGUCUGAGAGGAUGAUCAGCCACACCGGGACUGAGACACGGCCCGGACUCCUACGGGAGGCAGCAGUGGGGAAUAUUGGACAAUGGGGGAAACCCUGAUCCAGCCAUGCCGCGUGUGUGAAGAAGGCCUUUUGGUUGUAAAGCACUUUAAGCAGUGAAGAAGACUCCAUGGUUAAUACCCAUGGACGAUGACAUUAGCUGCAGAAUAAGCACCGGCUAACUCUGUGCCAGCAGCCGCGGUAAUACAGAGGGUGCAAGCGUUAAUCGGAAUUACUGGGCGUAAAGGGAGCGUAGGUGGCUCUAUAAGUCAGAUGUGAAAUCCCCGGGCUUAACCUGGGAACUGCAUCUGAAACUGUAGAGCUAGAGUAUGUUGAGAGGAAGGUAGAAUUCCAGGUGUAGCGGUGAAAUGCGUAGAGAUCUGGAGGAAUACCGAUGGCGAAGGCAGCCUUCUGGCAUAAUUACUGACACUGAGGCUCGAAAGCGUGGGUAGCAAACAGGAUUAGAUACCCCUGGUUAGUCCACGCCGUAAACGAUGUCUACUAGUCGUUGGGUCCCUUUGAGGACUUAGUGACGCAGCUAACGCAAUAAUUAGACCGCCUGGGGGAGUUACGGCCCGCAA
rnacentral:rRNA from 1 species